GAAUUAGAAAACAUAUCCUUCAUGGCCAAUUAUUUCUGACUCAGUUGUUUACUUACUUACCUUGAGAGUGACCUGUGGAGUCUUGGUUGAGCCAAGAUAGAUACUCUGAAAAAGCUUUGCCUUGUAAAUAAGUGUUAAGGGCAUCUCAUGAUGAAGUGUUCUUUCUGAGACAGCAUAAUGAUCUAGAUGAAUAGUUCAACACAUAUGAGAGCAUUUUGAGUAACCAUAUAUUGCUUGCAUGAUCAUUUAAUAUCUAGCUAACUAACUUUUCUUCCUGUGAACAUUACUCAUAGGAUGUUAGUUCUCACAUCAUCUUUGAGAGGAAGGCAAGUAUUAUUAGUCAUUGAGACUAAAGUAAUCUUCACCCAUUCAAUCUUCGAAAAAUACAAUGCUGAGAGUGAAGAGACCAGAGGUGAACAACAGUAGCAAAGAGAGUAAAUAAUGAAAAAAUCCAUGUCACAAGGCAUUUCCCUUUGAAGCAAACCCAAGAAAAUGGAAUUCAGCCUGAUUCCUCUUGUAAGAGAAACAGAGUCUCCGGGAGCCUAUGGACCCUUGGACUCCUCCACUCAAAUAAAGGCUAACGCUGUUUUCCAGUUUCUGAGCUGCCAAUGUACCAUGAGAAAUCCCCUCAUUGCCAUGACAGAAAAGGCAGUGGUACAGCAGAAAUGAUAUUUGGAGAUCUGGUUUGCUUGAAAACAAUGAAACAGACAGAGUCGCCUGAAGGCAACUCACUGAGAACUGGGAGGUCCUCGCAGCACAAUUAAACUGGCAACAAAUCAAUAGAAACAGAAGAGAAGAGGAAAGAAAACAAUAAUUAAAACAUUCUGUCAAAAAAUAGAACAGUAAUUAAAGAUGCAAACUAUUGUUUUGCCCCACUAAUUUCAUUUUAAUUUUCAAUAGAUUGCUGAAGACCAUAAAAAGACUUUGCCUUUCACAACAUUCUGGUGUUCCUUGCUAGGUUGAUAGCACUGUGAUUGUGUCACAACUGAAUGGCAGGUAUUUUCACCAAGGGACGAUGGGGCAAAGAGUAAAAUGUUGUCCUGCUUGUUAUAUAAUGUAAAUAAAGCCCUUUACACGAUCA
rnacentral:lncRNA from 1 species